ACAGCAUCUCGUUGCCGUGGAAAAGCCCGGCCUGCACCACCAGCUGUAGAAGGUGCCGGGAUGAUGGGGCUCCCUGGACUUCUCAGAUUCCUAUGAGCCCAUGUGGGUGGGGAAGGACUUUUCCUGCCACCUGAUGUCCGGCCCCUUCCAAUUCCACCUGACACCACCACCCUGGAAGUCCCUCUGAUCCAGUCCCCCUCGAUUCCUGCCAGUGGAACCCAGACCUGCCCUGCUUAUACGAUUUCCCCAGUGAAACACACUCCAGGCAGGAGGGCCAACCUCUGAGGACUCAGGUAUCAUGUCCAGCAAACAGGACAAUAAAGCCCAUGACUGCA